AGCCGACCUGAGAGGGUGAUCGGCCACAUUGGGACUGAGACACGGCCCAAAUUCCUACGGGAGGCAGCAGUAGGGAAUCUUCCACAAUGGACGAAAGUCUGAUGGAGCAACGCCGCUUGAGUGAUGAAGGUUUUCGGAUCGUAAAACUCUGUUGUAAGGGAAGAACAAGUACGUUAGGAAAUGAACGUACCUUGACGGUACCUUAUUAGAAAGCCACGGCUAACUACGUGCCAGCAGCCGCGGUAAUACGUAGGUGGCAAGCGUUGUCCGGAUUUAUUGGGCGUAAAGCGCGCGCAGGUGGUUUCUUAAGUCUGAUGUGAAAGCCCACGGCUCAACCGUGGAGGGUCAUUGGAAACUGGGAGACUUGAGUGCAGAAGAGGAAAGUGGAAUUCCAAGUGUAGCGGUGAAAUGCGUAGAGAUUUGGAGGAACACCAGUGGCGAAGGCGACUUUCUGGUCUGUAACUGACGCUGAGGCGCGAAAGCAUGGGGAGCAAACAGGAUUAGAUACCCUGGUAGUCCAUGCUGUAAACGAUGAGUGCUAAGUGUUAGGGGGUUUCCGCCCCUUAGUGCUGCAGCUAACGCAUUAAGCACUCCGCCUGGGGAGUACGACCGCAAGGUUGAAACUCAAAGGAAUUGACGGGGGCCCGCACAAGCGGUGGAGCAUGUGGUUUAAUUCGAAGCAACGCGAAGAACCUUACCAGGUCUUGACAUCCCAGUGACCGCUCUAGAGAUAGAGUUUUCCCUUCGGGGACAUUGGUGACAGGUGGUGCAUGGUUGUCGUCAGCUCGUGUCGUGAGAUGUUGGGUUAAGUCCCGCAACGAGCGCAACCCUUAAUCUUAGUUGCCAUCAUUUAGUUGGGCACUCUAAGGUGACUGCCGGUGACAAACCGGAGGAAGGUGGGGAUGACGUCAAAUCAUCAUGCCCCUUAUGACCUGGGCUACACACGUGCUACAAUGGACGGUACAAAGAGUCGCUAACUCGCGAGAGCACGCUAAUCUCAUAAAACCGUUCUCAGUUCGGAUUGUAGGCUGCAACUCGCCUACAUGAAGCCGGAAUCGC
rnacentral:rRNA from 2 species